GAGGCUUAGAAGGUAUUUUUUGAAAGGUGAGAAAGAAGUCUAAAUGUUACUAAUUCAGUGGGCUAUGCAAGAUUUCAUUCUAUUAAUCAAAUAAUUUAGGGUUAAUUUAUGGGGACCUGACUCUUCCCACAAAGCCCAUUUAAUCUGCUUCCCAACUACCAGUUAUUAAUAAAAAAAUGAAUAAUUAAAAUGUAAUUUGAAAGGGCUGAAAUAAAGGAAUGUUUAACAUGAUGGGAAGUAGAGAGAAGCUGGUGAGAAAUUCCUUGAGGUUGUGGGAGCUGUCAGGGAAACUUUCAUUUGAACUGAUUCCCAGAAAUUGAUUAGGACUUUAUAGAUGGGUCUGAGCUUGUAAAGGGAAAGACGUCGGCCACAAACAAGGGCACAAGCAUUUGGACAUCAUGAAACAUUCAAGGAAUGGUCUUCUCUAUGGAGAAUACAAACUAAGGUGGAUGCUGAGAAGAUUAAGCUACAAAUAUCAGCUGAAAAAGCCUAUACUGUCUCAAGAAGAAGUUAAUAUAAUGAAACAGUCUGAAAAAUCUUUAAAAUAAAUGUUUAGUGCCCACAUA